rnacentral:rRNA from 1 species
UACGUAGGGUGCGAGCGUUAAUCGGAAUUACUGGGCGUAAAGGGUGCGCAGGCGGCUCCGCAUGUCGGGCGUGAAAUCCCCGGGCUUAACCUGGGAACUGCAUUUGUGACUGCAUCGCUGGAGUGCGGCAGAGGGGGAUGGAAUUCCGCGUGUAGCAGUGAAAUGCGUAGAUAUGCGGAGGAACACCGAUGGCGAAGGCAAUCCCCUGGGCCUGCACUGACGCUCAUGCACGAAAGCGUGGGGAGCAAACAGG